rnacentral:rRNA from 1 species
UACAGAGGUCCCAAGCGUUGUUCGGAUUCAUUGGGCGUAAAGGGUGCGUAGGCGGCGCGGUAAGUCGGGUGUGAAAUCUCGGAGCUUAACUCCGAAACUGCAUUCGAUACUGCCGUGCUUGAGGACUGGAGAGGAGACUGGAAUUUACGGUGUAGCGGUGAAAUGCGUAGAUAUCGUAAGGAAGACCAGUGGCGGAAGGCGGGUCUCUGGACAGUUCCUGACGCUGAGGCACGAAGGUCAGGGGAGCAAACGGG